GGGCGGGUGGCCCAACGGGUAGAGGCAGCCGGACGCUCGCCACGAGAAUCAAACUCUCGCUCGAAUCUCAGUACCUUGCCGUCGAUCGCCAGAUCGACCAGGAACGGACGAGUGCACCCGAGUUGCUGGUUCAACUCCAGCCUGGCCCGCCA
rnacentral:tRNA from 1 species